ACCUCGAUUGUGUGGUGGUAAACACACGUCCCCGGUAUGGAUGAAACGCGGGUUCAACUUCCGUCUGGGGCU